CCGAUUCGAUCGGGAUACUCAUCAAUUUAAAAAUCGAAACCGAGACAGCUACUUUUGUCAAUGGCGGGCCAUAUAAACUCUUUUAGAGCUAAGCUGCAAAGCCGGUGGAUUACAAAGACGGGGGGCGCUCAAAUCUUACAUUAGUCGGAGUUUCAUCACAUCAUCG
rnacentral:sRNA from 1 species